rnacentral:rRNA from 1 species
CGUCUGGCUGUUGUGGUUAAACCGGCUUUGCAUUGUCCUUGUGGCUUUGUUUGGUCGGGAUGGCAGGUAGCUCGUGGGCUUGCUCGUAGUUCGCUGCGGGUUCAUGUCUUCGGGUGUAAUUCGCUGACCACAUCGGUUCUGUGCGGUAUGUCGGAGACGGCGGCUUGUGGUGUGUGCGUGCGUGCCAGUUGGCUGAUGCGUCCGGGUUUGGUUGUUACGUUGCUUGUGUUCACAGGCCUGAUGAUAGCCCGGAUGUGUUUGGUCGA